rnacentral:pre_miRNA from 1 species
AGAUCGCCUGAAAGUCGGGAUAAAUCAACUGUCAAGUGGUUGUCAUUUGCUAGUUGCUUUUGUCCCGCCUUUUCU